rnacentral:lncRNA from 1 species
UCGUACCCAAAAAAGAGAGUUCAUUGUAAAAAGCCACUAUAUUUGCAGCCAAUGUAACUCAUGAAAGUGAGGCCAACAACCAAAGAAUUGUGUGAGAAGAGAUAACAAGCAAAAACCAUGCAAAGAAAGCGAAAGCGAUAGAAAUCUGGAACAAAUGACACGAAAGUUUAGGGUCUAACUUGCAUAUAUCCGCGUCUCUUGCAUACAGAACCAUCACUCCAGCUGACGAGGAUGCAGCUGCAAGUGCUAGAAGAGCAUGCGUACCCAGUCACCGACGACAACAAGGCUUAAUAAGAUUGGAGUCUGCAGAUCUUUCUUUACUCUUAGAGCAUG